GAUGAACGCUGGCGGCGUGCCUAAUACAUGCAAGUCGAGCGAACGGACGAGAAGCUUGCUUCUCUGAUGUUAGCGGCGGACGGGUGAGUAACACGUGGAUAACCUACCUAUAAGACUGGGGUAACUUCGGGAAACCGGAGCUAAUACCGGAUAAUAUUUUGAACCGCAUGGAUCAAAAGUGAAAGACGGUCUUGCUGUCACUUAUAGAUGGAUCCGCGCUGCAUUAGCUAGUUGGUAAGGUAACGGCUCACCAAGGCAACGAUGCAUAGCCGACCUGAGAGGGUGAUCGGCCACACUGGAACUGAGACACGGUCCAGACUCCUACGGGAGGCAGCAGUAGGGAAUCUUCCGCAAUGGGCGAAAGCCUGACGGAGCAACGCCGCGUGAGUGAUGAAGGUCUUCGGAUCGUAAAACUCUGUUAUUAGGGAAGAACAUAUGUGUAAGUAACUGUGCACAUCUUGACGGUACCUAAUCAGAAAGCCACGGCUAACUACGUG
rnacentral:rRNA from 1 species